AGGAGCAUGUGGUUAAUUCGAUGAUACGCGAGGAACCUUACCUGGGCUCGAACGUAAGAUGACUGUAGGUGAAAGCUUACAUCUCUUCGGAGCAUUUUACGAGGUGCUGCAUGGUUGUCGUCAGCUCGUGCCGUGAGGUGUCGGGUUAAGUCCCAUAACGAGCGCAACCCCUACCUUUAGUUGCCAUCAGGUUAAGCUGGGGACUCUAAAGGAAUUGCCUACGCAAGUAGUGAGGAAGCGGGGAUGACGUCAAAUCAGCACGGCCCUUACGUCCAGGGCUACACACGUGCUACAAUGGCCGAUACAGAGGGCAGCUACCUGGUGACAGGAUGCAAAUCUCCAAAGUCGGUCUCAGUUCGGAUCGGAGUCUGCAACCCGACUCCGUGAAGUUGGAUUCGCUAGUAAUCGCGCAUCAGCCAUGGCGCGGUGAAUACGUUCCCGGGCCUU
rnacentral:rRNA from 1 species